rnacentral:rRNA from 1 species
AGAGUUUGAUCCUGGCUCAGAACGAACGUUGGCGGCGUGGAUUGGGCAUGCAAGUCGAACGAGAAAGCUCCCUUCGGGGAGUGAGUACAGUGGCGAACGGGUGAGUAACGCGUGGGAAACCUGCCCUCGAGCAGGGGAUAACAUCCCUAACGGGGUGCUAAUACCGUAUGAAUCGGAUGGUCGCAUGGCCGUCUGGGAAAGGUGGCCUCUCCUUGGAAGCUGCCACUCGAGGAUGGUCCCGCGUCCCAUUAGCUUGUUGGUGGGGUAACGGCCUACCAAGGCGACGAUGGGUAGCCGGCCUGAGAGGGUGUCCGGCCACACUGGGACUGAGAUACGGCCCAGACUCCUACGGGAGGCAGCAGUCGAGAACCUUCGGCAAUGGGCGAAAGCCUGACCGAGCGACGCCGCGUGAGGGAUGACGGCCCUAGUGGUUGUAAACCUCUGUCAGGAGGGAAUAAAGCUAGUCGAUUAAUACCCGACUGGUCUGAAGGUACCUCCAAAAGGAAGCACCGGCUAACUCCGUGCCAGCAGCCGCGGUAAUACGGAGGGUGCGAACGUUGUUCGGAUUUACUGGGUGUAAAGGGUGCGUAGGCGGCCCUGUGUGUCAGAGGUGAAAUCCGGCGGCUCAACCGUCGAAUGGCCCCUGAAACUGCAGGACUUGAGUCCGGGAGAGGAAGGCGGAAUUCCUGGUGUAACGGUGAGAUGUGCAGAUAUCAGGAAGAACGCCCGUGGCGAAGGCGGCCUUCUGGUCCGGUACUGACGCUGAGGCACGAAAGCUAGGGUAUCGAACGGGAUUAGAUACCCCGGUAGUCCUAGCCGUAAACGAUGUCCACUAGGUGUCGGAGGUCCUACCCCUUCGGUGCCGCAGCUAACGCAUUAAGUGGACCACCUGGGGAGUACGAUCGCAAGGUUGAAACUCAAAGGAAUUGACGGGGGCCCGCACAAGCGGUGGAGCAUGUGGUUUAAUUCGAUGCAACGCGAAGAACCUUACCCGGGCUUGACAUCCAGAGGACAGGUGUAGAGAUACACCCUCCUUCGGGUCUCUGGACAGAUGCUGCAUGGCUGUCGUCAGCUCGUGUCGUGAAAUGUUGGGUUAAGUCCCGCAACGAGCGCAACCCUUGCCCUUAGUUGCCAGCACGUAAUGGUGGGAACUCUAGGGGGACUGCCGGUGAUAAACCGGAGGAAGGUGGGGACGACGUCAAGUCGUCAUGGCCCUUACGUCCGGGGCUACACACGUGCUACAAUGGCACAUACAGAGGGCUGCGAACCAGCGAUGGUGAGCCAAUCCCAAAAAGUGUGCCUCAGUUCGGAUUGCAGUCUGCAACUCGACUGCAUGAAGUCGGAAUCGCUAGUAAUCGCGGAUCAGCAUGCCGCGGUGAAUCCGUUCCCGGGCCUUGUACACGCCGCCCGUCAAGUCAACCGAAUUGGUUGCACCCGAAGUCGUCAGGCCAACCCGCAAGGGAGGCAGGCGCCGAAGGUGUGGCUAGUGAGGGGGACUAAGUCGUAACAAGGUA